AAGUCGUAACAAGGUUUCCGUAGGUGAACCUGCGGAAGGAUCAUUACAGGAGGACGCUUCGGCGUCCGUCGAAUCUUAAAUCAGUCUCGUGUCGAGUUUCUAGGAAAGAGAAAAAAUGAUAAGGAGCCGGGGGUGGUCAAGAGGGACUGCACUCGAUGCGGUCUGCGCCCCCGGAGAGACAAAAAUACACCCCUUAAACACCCGUGCACCCAUGGCGCGAGCGCUUUCCUCGCUCGCGCCGCAAAACGUAUAACGACGCUUGUCAUGCAUGUCUUGUCGGGCUCUACGGAGCGUCAAAAAAGUUAAUACAACUUUCAACAACGGAUCUCUUGGCUUUCGCAUCGAUGAAGAACGCCGCGAAAGUGCGAAACGUAAUGUGAAUUGCAGAAUUCAGUGAAUCAUCGAAUCUUUGAACGCAUCUUGCGCUCCUUGGUAUUCCGAGGAGCAUGCCUGUUUGAGUGUCGUGAAGAGAGGAGUCGAACGCCUCGUUACGAGGGGUUCGGAUUUGGACGCUGUCGGACCUCGUCCGGCUCGUCUCGAAAUGCAUUAGCCGUCAACCCGACCUCAUAGACGAACGGUGUGAUAAAGUGAUCGCCAGAGUCUCGCGUGGGUAGGGUCGGCUUCUAGUCGUCUUUGGACAAUUUGUCGUUCUGACCUCAAAUCAGGUAGGACUACCCGCUGAACUUAA
rnacentral:rRNA from 1 species